rnacentral:pre_miRNA from 1 species
AUUAUACUCCCUCCGCCCGAAAAUACUUGUCAUCAAAAUGGACAAAAAGGGAUGUAUCUAAAACUAAAAUACAUCUAGAUACAUCCCUUUUAUCCAUUUUGAUGACAAGUAUUUCCGGACGGAGGGAGUAUAUA